AUUGAACGCUGGCGGCAGGCCUAACACAUGCAAGUCGAGCGGAUGAAGGGAGCUUGCUCCUGGAUUCAGCGGCGGACGGGUGAGUAAUGCCUAGGAAUCUGCCUGGUAGUGGGGGAUAACGUCCGGAAACGGGCGCUAAUACCGCAUACGUCCUGAGGGAGAAAGUGGGGGAUCUUCGGACCUCACGCUAUCAGAUGAGCCUAGGUCGGAUUAGCUAGUUGGUGGGGUAAAGGCCUACCAAGGCGACGAUCCGUAACUGGUCUGAGAGGAUGAUCAGUCACACUGGAACUGAGACACGGUCCAGACUCCUACGGGAGGCAGCAGUGGGGAAUAUUGGACCAUGGGCGAAAGCCUGAUCCAGCCAUGCCGCGUGUGAAGAAGGUCUUCGGAUUGUAAAGCACUUUAAGUUGGGAGGAAGGGCAGUAAGUUAAUACCUUGCUGUUUUGACGUUACCAACAGAAUAAGCACCGGCUAACUUCGUG
rnacentral:rRNA from 1 species